CACUCCUACGGGAGGCAGCAGUGGGGAAUUUUGGACAAUGGGCGAAAGCCUGAUCCAGCAAUGCCGCGUGAGUGAAGAAGGCCUUCGGGUUGUAAAGCUCUUUUGUCAGGGAAGAAACGGUGAAAGCUAAUAUCUUUUGCUAAUGACGGUACCUGAAGAAUAAGCACCGGCUAACUACGUGCCAGCAGCCGCGGUAAUACGUAGGGUGCAAGCGUUAAUCGGAAUUACUGGGCGUAAAGCGUGCGCAGGCGGUUUUGUAAGUCUGAUGUGAGAUCCCCGGGCUCAACCUGGGAAUUGCAUUGGAGACUGCAAGGCUAGAAUCUGGCAGAGGGGGGUAGAAUUCCACGUGUAGCAGUGAAAUGCGUAGAUAUGUGGAGGAACACCGAUGGCGAAGGCAGCCCCCUGGGUCAAGAUUGACGCUCAUGCACGAAAGCGUGGGGAGCAAACAGGAUUAGAAACCCUAGUAGUCCCAUG
rnacentral:rRNA from 1 species